CUGACUCCUGCUUCAACAGUAUUUGGAUGGAGCAG
rfam:Felis catus isolate Cinnamon breed Abyssinian chromosome C2, whole genome shotgun sequence.